CGAAAGUAGUGAUGCAGAGUAAAACUCUAAAAGACGGUCUCAGUUCGGAUUGAAGGCUGAAAUUCGCCUUCAUGAAGCUGGAAUUGCUAGUAAUGGCAGGUCAGCAUACUGCCGUGAAUACGUUCCCGGGCCUUGUACACACCGCCCGUCACACCAUGAGAGUUGGAAAUACCCGAAGCCUGUGAGCUAACAAACGAGGCAGCAGUCGAAGGUAGAGCCAAUGAUUGGGGUGAAGUCGUAACAAGGUAGC
rnacentral:rRNA from 1 species